rnacentral:rRNA from 4 species
AGAGAUUAAACUGAAGAGUUUGAUCCUGGCUCAGAUUGAACGCUGGCGGCAUGCCUUACACAUGCAAGUCGAACGGCAGCACGGAGCUUGCUCUGGUGGCGAGUGGCGAACGGGUG